CAAGUCUCCUAAGCUUGUCCUAGUUUAGGAAGCUAAAGCAUCUGAAUUUUAAUGGUAACAAUUUUGAUUUUCUGAGCAGAAGAAUUGUCAGCGUUGGAGAACUUGGGAGUUUUUGGAUCUGAGUUUUAAUCUUCCCACAAGAUCCCUCGAGCUUUUCCAGAUUUAGGAAACUAAAGCACCUGGAUCUAAGUUAUAACUAUUUUGACAAUGGAAUCUCGAGAUACUUGAAUCAUCUCCCUGCUAUUACAUCUCUAUCCUUGGCGUCUACUAACAUGGGAGGACCAUUUUCUAGCCAUGGUUUAUGUGCACUAAAGCAUCUUGAAGAAUUAGAUCUUAGUUGGAAUAUGUUUCAGGGGACCCUUCCAACAUGCCUAAAUAAUUUGACAUCCCUUUAAGAGUUUAGAUCUAUAUCACAACCAAUUUACAGGAAGCAUUUAUUCUUCUUUAAUAGCGGGCCUCACAUCCCUUGAGUACAUAGAUCUAAGUCAACCAUUUUGAGGGCUUUUUCUCGUUCAGCUCAUUUGCUAAUCACUCGCAAAUUUGAGGUUGAAGCUGAAGAUCCAUAUUGGGUUCCUUCAUUUCAGUUAAAGGUUCUUGUGCUAUCUAAUUGCAACUUGAAUAGGCUCACUGGUCAUGUAACUACGUUCCUCUUGAACCAGGUCAACUUGCUUAUGGUCGACUUGUCCUCACAAUAAUUUGAUAGGAAGCUUCCCUAGUUGGUUUCUUCAGAAUAAUAAUGGACUAGAAGAUUUAUAUCUAACAAAUAAUUGUUCACCAGUCAACUUCAACUAUGGCAUGUUCAUUCUAUACUUCACUUGGAUAUCUCAGGCAAAGGCUUUAAUGGACAACUUCAAGAAAAUAUUGGGAAGCUUGUUCCAUGCAUGGUGUAUCUUAAUAUGUCUAAUAAUGCUUUUGAGGGUAGUCUUCUGUCUUCAAUUGGUGACUUGAAUGAAUUGCAAGGAUUAGAUUUGGCCAAUAAUAAUUUUUCAGGAGAAGUCUCCCAGGAAUUGUUUGUAAAUUGUACGAAGAUCUACAUUCUAAACUUAAAUAACAAUAAGUUCUAUGGUGAGAUAUUCUCUCUCUAUUCAACUUAACUUGGAUAGUGUAUUUAAGUUUGAACAACAAUUCGAUCAAUGGAAUUCUACCAAAUAUAGUGUUACAACGUCCAGAUUUGAAGUUACUUGAUAUUGGCAACAAUUACAUGUCAGGUGAAAUUUUGAGAUGGAUGGAUAAUAUAACAAGCUUGGAUAUCCUUUUACUAAAUAAUAAUUUUUUUGAAGAUGAAAUUCCAUGUAUACUGGGUAGAAAUAAAUUCAGAGGUACAUUUAACUUUAUAGACCUAUCUCAUAACUCUCUUUCAGGCUCUUUACCUUCAUGUUUAAGACUAGAAAUGGUAAAACAAAUAAAUUUACAAGGAAAUAAUCUCAUUGAAUAAUUACCUAAAGGUCUUCUCAACUCCUCCAACCUAUUGACAUUGAACCUCAAAGAUAUUGGCUUUGUUGGCAACAUUCCUCACAUAAUUACAAUUUCGAACGUGCAGGUUAUGUUGUGAGGAGGAAAUUACUUUAGUGGUGUAAUUCCUAAUGCUCUAUGCCAAUUAAGAAAGAUAAACUUCAUGGACCUAUCCCACAACUUUUUUAGUGGGUCAAUUCCUCAUUGCCUCCACAAUAUCUCAUUCAGAAAUUUAGCGACUAAUGAGUAUAUCUUUAGAUUUCAAAGUACUAUGAACAGAAUUUGGGGUUUUCCAUACUAUGGAAACAAAAGCAUCCAAUAUAGUUGGUUUCACCAUCAAGUUUUUUAUGAUUUACAAGACAAAGUCGAGUUUAUUGCCAAAAAUAGACUCAAUUCCUUUAAGGGAAACAUUCUCAAUUACAUGUUAGCAUUAGAUUUAUCCUGCAACAACUUAACAGGUAACAUCUCAAGGGAACUAGGAUUUCUAUCGUGGAUUCAUGCAUUGAAUUUGUCUCACAAUCAACUCACAUGUUCUAUUCCUAUAACAUUCUCAAACCUUAAUAAGAUAGAGAACUGGAAUCUUUCCCACAAUAACUUCAUUGGAAAAAUUCCCUCAAAACUGAAUAAACUUUACUUUCUGGGAGCAUUCAGCGUUGCAUAUAACAAUUUGUCAGGAAAAAUUCCUGAUAGUCUGGGACAUGGGACGACAUUUGCAAAAAGUAGCUUUUAAAGAAAUAAAUUUUUAUGUGGAUUUCUAUUGAAGAAGAAGUGCCGAGGCGAGGAUGAUAGGAAUCACAUAACCACAUCUUCAUCAAAUCAAAGUGAAGAAAAAUGGCAAAAGAUUGAUUGAUUAGUCUUCUUUGUAAGUUUUUCAGUAGCUUUUAUUAUAUUCUUCUAUGGAGUUGUUUCUGUUCUUUAUAUUAAUCUCU